AGUGGGGAAUAUUGCACAAUGGAGGAAACUCUGAUGCAGCAACGCCGCGUGGAGGAUGACGCAUUUCGGUGUGUAAACUCCUUUUAUAUGGGAAGAUAAUGACGGUACCAUAUGAAUAAGCACCGGCUAACUCCGUGCCAGCAGCCGCGGUAAUACGGAGGGUGCAAGCGUUACUCGGAAUCACUGGGCGUAAAGCGCGCGCAGGCGGACUAAUAAGCUAGAAGUGAAAUGCUGUGGCUCAACCAUAGAACUGCUUCUAGAACUGUUAGUCUAGAGUCUGGGAGGGGAAGAUGGAAUUAGUUGUGUAGGGGUAAAAUCCGUAGAGAUAACUAGGAAUACCAAAAGCGAAGGCGAUCUUCUGGAACAGUACUGACGCUGAGGCGCGAAAGCGUGGGGAGCAAACAGGAUUAGAUACCCUGGUAGUCCACGCCCUAAACGAUGAAUGUUAGUCGUUGGAUAGCUAGUCUAUUCAGUGAUGCAGUUAACACAUUAAACAUUCCGCCUGGGGAGUACGGUCGCAAGAUUAAAACUCAAAGGAAUAGACGGGGACCCGCACAAGUGGUGGAGCAUGUGGUUUAAUUCGAAGAUACGCGAAGAACCUUACCUAGCCUUGACAUUGAAAGAAUCUUCCAGAGAUGGAGGAGUGCCCUUCGGGGAACUUGAAAACAGGUGCUGCACGGCUGUCGUCAGCUCGUGUCGUGAGAUGUUGGGUUAAGUCCCGCAACGAGCGCAACCCUCGUGACUAGUUACUAACGGUUCGGCCGAGGACUCUAGUCAGACUGCCUUCGCAAGGAGGAGGAAGGUGAGGACGACGUCAAGUCAUCAUGGCCCUUACGGCUAGGGCGACACACGUGCUACAAUGGGUAGGACAAUGAGAAGCGAUACCGCGAGGUGGAGCAAAUCUAUAAACCUACUCUCAGUUCGGAUAGCAGUCUGCAACUCGACUGCUUGAAGCUGGAAUCACUAGUAAUCGUAGAUCAGCCAUGCUACGGUGAAUACGU
rnacentral:rRNA from 1 species